rnacentral:pre_miRNA from 14 species
CUACCGAGACCAUGUGACCUGUGGGCUUCCCUUUGUCAUCCUAUGCCUGGAGAUCACAGUGAGGCAGGGACAGCAAAGGGAUGCUCAGCUGUCGUCUCUUCC